rnacentral:rRNA from 1 species
CAUCCCGACUUACCAACCCGAUGCAAACUCCGAAUACCAAUGAGUGCAAUCACGGGAGACACACGGCGGGUGCUAACGUCCGUCGUGGAAAGGGAAACAACCCAGACCGUCAGCUAAGGUCCCAAAGUUAUAGUUAAGUGGGAAACGAUGUGGGAAGGUUUAGACAGCUAGGAGGUUGGCUUAGAAGCAGCCAUCCUUUAAAGAAAGCGUAAUAGCUCACUAGUCGAAUCGGCCUGCGCGGAAGAUAUAACGGGGCUCAAACUAUACACCGAAGCUACGGACGCAUGCUUGCAUGCGUGGUAGAGGAGCGUUCUGUAGGCCGUUGAAGGGAAAGCUGAGAGGCAUCCUGGAGGUAUCAGAAGUGCGAAUGCUGACAUGAGUAACGAUAAGGGGAGUGAAAAGCUCCCCCGCCGGAAGACCAAGGUUUCCUAUCCAAUGCUAAUCAGGGUAGGGUGAGUCGGCCCCUAAGGCGAGGCUGAAGAGCGUAGUCGAUGGGAAGCAGGUUAAUAUUCCUGCACCACUCAAUAUUGCGAAGGAGGGACGGAGAAGGCUAGUCCAGCGCGGCGUUGGUUGUCCGCGUUUAAGCGUGUAGGCUUAAAUCUUAGGUAAAUCCGGGAUUUUUUAAGGCUGAGGCGUGAUGACGAGGUCCAUUAGGACUGAAGUGGUUGAUGCCAUGCUUCCAGGAAAAGCUUCUAAGCAUCAGAUAUUGAGUGACCGUACCCCAAACCGACACAGGUGGUCAGGUAGAGAAUACCAAGGCGCUUGAGAGAACUCGGGUGAAGGAACUAGGCAAAAUGGUACCGUAACUUCGGGAGAAGGUACGCCGCUGAUGGUGAUGGGACUUGCUCCCUAAGCUGUUGGCGGCCGAAGAUACCAGGUGGCUGCGACUGUUUAUUAAAAACACAGCACUGUGCAAACACGAAAGUGGACGUAUACGGUGUGACGCCUGCCCGGUGCCGGAAGGUUAAUUGAUGAGGUUAGCGCAAGCGAAGCUUUUGAUCGAAGCCCCGGUAAACGGCGGCCGUAACUAUAACGGUCCUAAGGUAGCGAAAUUCCUUGUCGGGUAAGUUCCGACC